rnacentral:rRNA from 1 species
AUUCCAGCUCCAAUAGCGUAUAUUAAAGUUGUUGCAGUUAAAAAGCUCGUAGUUGGAUUUCUGGAUGAAGCGACCGGUCGGGCGUUGAUUCGUCUGCACUGGAGUCGGUUUUGGCCAUCCUCUAGGAAAGUGCGUCUGGUAUUAAGUUGUCGGGCGUAUGAUCCUGGUCUUUUACUGUGAAAAAAUUAGAGUGUUUAAAGCAGGCCUUCGCCUUGAAUACAUUAGCAUGGAAUAAUAAGAUAGGACUUUGGUCUAUUUUGUUGGUUUGCAGACCGAAGUAAUGAUUAAUAGGGAUAGUUGGGGGUAUUUAUAUUCCGAUGUCAGAGGUGAAAUUCUUAGAUUUUCGGAAGAUAAACUUAUGCGAAAGCAUUUACCAAGGAUGUUUUCAUUA